rnacentral:lncRNA from 1 species
GGCAUAGCCAGGGAUUCUGGUAGUGUAGUGGAACAUGGGCUUUGCUAUCACUAGUACAUGGGCACACUAUUCAGGCGGUUGGUAACAUAUUUCUACAGGCGUUUUCCAGCACUGCCUGCGCUGGGGGCAGUAGAAAUCGUCCAUUUCCACAGGCGGUUGGUUGAGAGCCGCCAGUAGAAACCAUUUACACAGGCGGUUCCCUAAGAGAGCGCAUGUGGAAACCUAUUAAAAUAUGUAUUAUUUAUUUAUUUUUUAAUUUAUUUAUUUAUUUAUUUAUUUAUUAUUUUAUUGUUAUUAUUUAGAUAUAUUGAUAUUGGUCGGUCUUCUAACAUAGCAACAUGUAAUUUAAAUACUUCAUCUCAUACAUACAUUUGUAUACAUCAAAGUUUGGUGCUCAAAGACAUAAAGUUAAUUACAAGAGUAUAUCCAUCAUCACACAUCAUAUAUAUAUAUAUAUAUACAUCAAAGUUUGUUUCUGUCCUCUAAUAACCCUCUUUAGUAAGUUUGAGCUUACUAAUCUCUGUUAGCACUCGGAACUGUGGCCUGGAUAAUUGGCUUUCAUCAUCAUGAUAUUUGCCUUCACGUGGAAUGACAUGCUUCAUGAUGAACGAGCAGAUGUCCUCAACUAUGUUGUCUAAAGCACGUUCGUCCAUGCGCUCCGCCGUCUCUUGCUUGUAUACCUGCAAAGAAAGUUUAUAAAUAUUAUAUAUUUUAUGACUUCCAACUUUAAUAGACUAUUACUUAUAUUACCUUGUCAGGGUUUCUUGCAUAUCGUCCGUUUUCUCUCAUGUUUUCGCACACACAGUAGCCACAGAGGACAGAUAACGGUCGUUGCUUCAUGCACUGUAUAACAGGAGAGUGAUUAUUUAAUUAUAGUUGCAACUGUGGUCGUAUGUGUAUGAUUUAUAUUCAUAAUAGUAAAUUUUUAUACGUACCGGCCAGUUAUGUAUAACCUCCAAUGGUUGCCCUGGUCUCUUGGACUCGCACUUUCCAUGAUUUAUCUUAU